UACGGGAGGCAGCAGUGGGGAAUCUUGCGCAAUGGGCGAAAGCCUGACGCAGCGACGCCGCGUGAGGGAAGAAGGCUUUCGGGUUGUAAACCUCUUUCAGGAGGGACGAAGCUACUCGGGUUAAUAGCCCAGAGGGUGACGGUACCUCCAGAAGAAGCCCCGGCUAACUACGUGCCAGCAGCCGCGGUAAUACGUAGGGGGCAAGCGUUGUCCGGAUUUAUUGGGCGUAAAGAGCGUGUAGGCGGCUAGACAGGUCCGUUGUGAAAACUCGAGGCUCAACCUCGAGACGCCGAUGGAAACCGUCUGGCUAGAGUCCGGAAGAGGAGAGUGGAAUUCCCGGUGUAGCGGUGAAAUGCGCAGAUAUCGGGAAGAACACCCGUGGCUAAGGCGGCUCUCUAGUACGGUACUGACGCUGAGACGCGAAAGCGUGGGGAGCGAACAGGAUUAGAUACCCUGGUAG
rnacentral:rRNA from 1 species